rnacentral:rRNA from 1 species
AGAGUUUGAUCAUGGCUCAGAUUGAACGCUGGCGGCAUGCUUUACACAUGCAAGUCGAGCGGCAGCGCGGGACUCAGGCAACUGAGCCCUGGCGGCGAGCGGCGAACGGGUGAGUAAUGCAUCGGAACGUGUCCCGUAGUGGGGGAUAACUCGGCGAAAGCCGAGCUAAUACCGCAUAUGCUCUACGGAGGAAAGUGGGGGACCUGUAAGGGCCUCACGCUAUGGGAGCGGCCGAUGCCCGAUUAGCUUGUUGGUGGGGUAAUGGCUUACCAAGGCAACGAUCGGUAGCUGGUCUGAGAGGAUGAUCAGCCACACUGGGACUGAGACACGGCCCAGACUCCUACGGGAGGCAGCAGUGGGGAAUUUUGGACAAUGGGGGCAACCCUGAUCCAGCCAUGCCGCGUGCGGGAAGAAGGCCUUCGGGUUGUAAACCGCUUUUAGCUGGGAAGAAAAGAUCACGGAUAACACCCGUGGUUCUUGACGGUACCGGCGGAAUAAGCACCGGCUAACUACGUGCCAGCAGCCGCGGUAAUACGUAGGGUGCGAGCGUUAAUCGGAAUUACUGGGCGUAAAGCGUGCGCAGGCGGUUCGUUGUGUCUGUCGUGAAAGCCCCGGGCUUAACCUGGGAAUGGCGAUGGAAACUGACGAGCUUGAGUGUGGCAGAGGGGGGGAAUUCCGCGUGUAGCAGUGAAAUGCGUAGAGAUGCGGAGGAACACCGAUGGCGAAGGCAGCCCCCUGGGCUAGCACUGACGCUCAGGCACGAAAGCGUGGGGAGCAAACAGGAUUAGAUACCCUAGUAGUCC